GACAGACCCGGGUCAUAAGGGAGGAGAACAAAGUUCAACAAGCGUUGGAAACAAGAGAGUCGGGCAACCACGUGAGAUCUCAAAAUGGAGUGGCUACACAGACACUCCUACAGGCUGUUGGUCUGGGGAGUUUAGUAAUUGUGCCAAGAAGCUCUGUAAAACAAACAAAUCAAUUGCAAGGAACACUUCUUGUCUCUGAACUGUUCCCUGGAGAUAGAAUCGUGGACCAGCAGCCUUCCCCAGGAAAAAGAAAAUGAUCCAUCCUGCAGCUAUCCCUCCCAUUUCUAACCACUGUCACUACAAAUAGCUACAGAUGACUUCCUUCAGUCCCUCACAAUCUAUUUUCUGCAAAGCAACCAGAGUGAACUUUAGAAAAUACAGAAAUGAUUAGACCAAUAUAUCCUGUUUCACUCUCCUGGGGUUGAAAAUGAGGUCACAUUCCUCUCAGUGCUCCAAUCAAAUGACUUUGAGCCUUCAACUUGUCUCCCUUGUGUGAUAAUUUCAGAUUCCAGAGCUUCAGAUUGUCUUAAUAAACUAAACUGGAAAAUU
ensembl:processed_transcript